AACGCUAGCUACAGGCUUAACACAUGCAAGUCGAGGGGAAACGACAUCGAAAGCUUGCUUUUGAUGGGCGUCGACCGGCGCACGGGUGAGUAACGCGUAUCCAACCUGCCCACCACUUGGGGAUAACCUUGCGAAAGUAAGACUAAUACCCAAUGACGUCUCUAGAAGACAUCUGAAAGAGAUUAAAGAUUUAUCGGUGAUGGAUGGGGAUGCGUCUGAUUAGCUUGUUGGCGGGGUAACGGCCCACCAAGGCUACGAUCAGUAGGGGUUCUGAGAGGAAGGUCCCCCACAUUGGAACUGAGACACGGUCCAAACUCCUACGGGAGGCAGCAGUGAGGAAUAUUGGUCAAUGGGCGAGAGCCUGAACCAGCCAAGUAGCGUGCAGGAUGACGGCCCUAUGGGUUGUAAACUGCUUUUAUAGGGGAAUAAAGUGGGUCUCGUGAGACUUUUUGCAUGUACCUUAUGAAUAAGGACCGGCUAAUUCCGUGCCAGCAGCCGCGGUAAUACGGAAGGUCCGGGCGUUAUCCGGAUUUAUUGGGUUUAAAGGGAGCGUAGGCCGGAGAUUAAGCGUGUUGUGAAAUGUAGUGGCUCAACCUCUGCACUGCAGCGCGAACUGGUCUUCUUGAGUACGCACAACGUGGGCGGAAUUCGUGGUGUAGCGGUGAAAUGCUUAGAUAUCACGAAGAACUCCGAUUG
rnacentral:rRNA from 1 species